AUGAACGCUGGCGGCGUGCCUAACACCUGCCAGUCGAACGAAGCACCUUACCUGAUUCUUCGGAUGAAAGUUUGGUGACUGAGUGGCGGACGGGUGAGUAACGCGUGGGUAACCUGCCCUGUACAGGGGGAUAACAGCUGGAAACGGCUGCUAAUACCGCAUAAGCGCACGAGGAGACAUCUCCUUGUGUGAAAAACUCCGGUGGUACAGGAUGGGCCCGCGUCUGAUUAGCUGGUUGGCAGGGUAACGGCCUACCAAGGCAACGAUCAGUAGCCGGUCUGAGAGGAUGAACGGCCACAUUGGAACUGAGACACGGUCCAAACUCCUACGGGAGGCAGCAGUGGGGAAUAUUGCACAAUGGGGGAAACCCUGAUGCAGCAACGCCGCGUGAGUGAAGAAGUAUUUCGGUAUGUAAAGCUCUAUCAGCAGGGAAGAUAAUGACGGUACCUGACUAAGAAGCUCCGGCUAAAUACGUG
rnacentral:rRNA from 1 species